CUGAAACAAGUCCAAACAAGGUUUCUGGUUUCGAAGGGAUCACUUCGCUACAGUCGUUUAUAGAACUGGGGUCUAAAUUAAGGCAAUUCAACUAGGCCAUUCUACGCAAUCAAUUCACUCUAGACCACGUAUGAGGACACUCCUAACUAGCGUCUAUGCCACGAGUAAUUGUUGAAGCAACUAGAAACUUACCCGUCCAUCCCCGACUCCACACUUCGUUUCGUACAAUUUGCAAUGAGCAUUUGACUGUCGCUCAUUGUGAGUUGUAGUGGCGAACAUUCACCGAGACAGAGAAUGAUGACAAAAACUCUAAACGGCCGCAUGCUGCUUGGGUUGUGAAGCAGCUCACCCCUAGAGCCACCCGCUUCUCCUGCUUGCAGUUGCCAAGUCAUCUCGAUUACGCUCCUUCCAUUGGUGGCUCACGCGUCUGCUGAAAAGAACAAAGAUGGAACAGGUGGCAUGUGAGGAGAUUUCCAUAAUAAAUGCUGGCCUAGUCAACGAAGUGUUCUGUAGUGUCCAUGAUACAAAUAGUUUAAGUUGUACUCUCAAUAUACAUUCUGGGAAAAUCUUUGUCGACCAGAAUUUAAGUUCAGGUCAGUUUUACGCUAUACCUAAC